AUUGAACGCUGGCAGCAUGCCAUACACAUGCAAGUCGGACGGCAGCACGGGAGCAAUCCUGGCGGCGAGUGGCGAACGGGUGAGUAAUAUAUCGGAACGUGCCCAGUAAUGGGGGAUAGCCCGGCGAAAGCCGGAUUAAUACCGCAUACGACCUACGGGUGAAAGCAGGGGAUCGCAAGACCUUGCGUUAUUGGAGCGGCCGAUAUCAGAUUAGCUAGUUGGUGGGGUAAAAGCCUACCAAGGCGACGAUCUGUAGCUGGUCUGAGAGGACGACCAGCCACACUGGGACUGAGACACGGCCCAGACUCCUACGGGAGGCAGCAGUGGGGAAUUUUGGACAAUGGGCGCAAGCCUGAUCCAGCCAUGCCGCGUGUGGGAAGAAGGCCUUCGGGUUGUAAACCACUUUUGUCAGGGAAGAAACGCUCUGGGCUAAUACCCUGGGGUAAUGACGGUACCUGAAGAAUAAGCACCGGCUAACUACGUGCCAGUAGCCGCAGUAACAC
rnacentral:rRNA from 1 species